GCCGAUGUAGCUCAGCGGCAGAGCAACUCCAUGGUAAGGAGUAGGUCGGGAGUUCAAUUCUCCCCAUCGGCU
rfam:Parcubacteria (Wolfebacteria) bacterium GW2011_GWA2_42_10 TT85_C0002, whole genome shotgun sequence.